rnacentral:rRNA from 1 species
GAUGAACGCUGGCUACAGGCUUAACACAUGCAAGUCGAGGGGAAACGCCGGGGAAGCUUGCUUCCCCGGGCGUCGACCGGCGCACGGGUGAGUAACGCGUAUCCAACCUGCCUCUGACUGAGGGAUAACCCGUCGAAAGUCGGCCUAAUACCUCAUGGCAUCGUCUGCGGGCAUCCAACGACGAUUAAAGAUUUCAUCGGUCAGGGAUGGGGAUGCGUCUGAUUAGCUUGUUGGCGGGGUAACGGCCCACCAAGGCUACGAUCAGUAGGGGUUCUGAGAGGAAGGUCCCCCACAUUGGAACUGAGACCCGGCCCAAACUCCUACGGGAGGCAGCAGUGAGGAAUAUUGGUCAAUGGGCGGGAGCCUGAACCAGCCAAGUAGCGUGCAGGAUGACGGCCCUAUGGGUUGUAAACUGCUUUUAUGCGGGGAUAAAGUGAGGGACGUGUCCUUCAUUGCAGGUACCGCAUGAAUAAGAACCGGCUAAUUCCGUG